UGGGGAAUCUUAGACAAUGGGCGAAAGCCUGAUCUAGCGAUGCCGCGUGUGUGACGAAGGCCCUAGGGUCGUAAAGCACUUUCGCCAGGGAUGAUAAUGACAGUACCUGGUAAAGAAACCCCGGCUAACUCCGUGCCAGCAGCCGCGGUAAUACGGAGGGGGUUAGCGUUGUUCGGAAUUACUGGGCGUAAAGCGUACGUAGGCGGAUUAGUCAGUCAGAGGUGAAAUCCCAGGGCUCAACCCUGGAACUGCCUUUGAUACUGCUAGUCUUGAGUUCGAGAGAGGUGAGUGGAAUUCCAAGUGUAGAGGUGAAAUUCGUAGAUAUUUGGAGGAACACCAGUGGCGAAGGCGGCUCACUGGCUCGAUACUGACGCUGAGGUACGAAAGUGUGGGGAGCAAACAGGAUUAGAUACCCCCGUAGUCC
rnacentral:rRNA from 1 species